rnacentral:rRNA from 1 species
CCUACGGGAGGCAGCAGUAGGGAAUAUUGCUCAAUGGGGGAAACCCUGAAGCAGCAACGCCGCGUGGAGGAUGAAGGUUUUCGGAUUGUAAACUCCUUUUUGUAGAGAAGAUAAUGACGGUAUCUAACGAAUAAGCACCGGCUAACCACGUGCCAGCAGCCGCGGUAAUACGGAGGGUGCAAGCGUUACUCGGAAUCACUGGGCGUAAAGAGCGCGUAGGCGGGAUAGCAAGUCAGAUGUGAAAUCCUAGGGCUUAACCAUAGAACUGCAUUUGAGACUGUUAUUCUAGAGUAUGGGAGAGGUAGGUGGAAUUCUUGGUGUAGCGGUAAAAUCCGUAGAGAUCAAGAGGAAUACUCAUUGCGAAGGCGACCUGCUAGAACAUAACUGACGCUGAUGCGCGAAAGCGUGGGGAGCAAACAGGAUUAGAUACCCGAGUAGUC